CCAAUAGCGUAUAUUAAAGUUGUUGCAGUUAAAAAGCUCGUAGUUGAAUUUCGGGAUCAAUUUAUCGGUCGUGCCUAUGGUAUGAACUGGUACAAUUGGUUUCUCCCUUCUGACGAAGCAUGAUGUCAUUAAUUUGGUGUCGUGGGGAAUCAGGACUGUUACUUUGAAAAAAUUAGAGUGUUUAAAGCAAGCAUUAGCUUGAAUACAUUAGCAUGGAAUAAUGAAAUAGGACGUUUGAUCCUAUUUCGUUGGUUUCUAGGAUCGACGUAAUGAUUAAUAGGGAUAGUUGGGGGCAUUAGUAUUCAAUUGUCAGAGGUGAAAUUCUUGGAUUUAUUGAAGACUAACUACUGCGAAAGCAUUUGCCAAGGAUGUUUUCAUUAAUCAAGAACGAAAGUUAGGGGAUCGAAGACGAUCAGAUACCGUCGUAGUCUUAACCAUAAACUAUGCCGACUAGGGAUCGGAUGAUGUUAAUUUUUUAAUGACUCAUUCGGCGCCUUACG
rnacentral:rRNA from 1 species